AAAUAUAAACACGCAUUGUGACAACAACAACAACAACAAAUAUGGCGGAAUCUGUAUUGUCAAACACGGAAGAAGAAGGAUACAACCAUAAUUAAACCAAGAAGUUUAUGAAGAAGGGAUCACUGGAUUUUGUCACUUUGGUACAAGAAACAGAAAAGGAUAUCAUAGACCACCUUACUUAUACGGAAGCAUAGGAGCUGUUGAAGGAAAUUGCUGCCAGACAGUCAACAGUUAUCACUGACAGCCUGUCCUGGCCCAGCUGGGACCAUCCUCAAGCUAACCAUGAUGAUGUGUUUGCAAGAAUUGUCCAUUUGGUAGAACAUGAUGAAGACGAGCUUUGUUGUGGCAUGGCCUGACAAUACUGUACAAGCCAGAGACCAAAAAAGGGUUAAUUGGUGACUGAUCCUCUCACCCUCCUUAUCCAGAAAACGUUUCGGAACAACGUGUUGGCACUGAAGAUGUGGAGGACACAGAUUGAUCACAGUACAUCCUUUGGAUACAUGCACACCUUCAACGGGACGACAACAAAACUGUACCUGCCUUUUUUUUGAAAGGAAGUAGUUAAUAAAAUUAUUGUUAACAGCUUUUUUAGUCUUGUUGUUUAAGAAUGCUUGCAACAUUUAAGUGGAUAAACGGUUGUUUUAAAUUUGAAGCUUCAGUAAUGCAUUCUUUAUUAAAUGAUGUAAUCUUAUUUCUUUCAAUAUAGUGUAAAUAAUAAGAACAUAAUUAUCCUUUGUAUACAAAAUGAAAACCAAGUUUACUGUUCUAUUAAUCAUUAUUUAUUUAUCUUGUUCUUUUGUCAGAAAUAUUACAAGGGCAUACAUACAGUAUUCCUUAAAUAAAAGGGGCAGUUCUUAAAAAAUUAACAUGUAUUUUAGCAAUGCAUAUUCAAACUUUUUCCACAUUUAUAACCAGCAACAAUAUGUAAGUAUUAUAAUGUAACACAAAUUAAUACUAUGAAUUUACUACUGAUUUUGCCGUGCCUGUCAUCAAAUAAACAUGUUUUACUGAAAGUUUCUUAAAAGAUGUUAUGUGGAUGACUUAAUCAAUCAUUUAAUAAAUAUUUGAGCCUCGCUCUUGGAAAAGGGGGUUUAAUGCAUGUACUUAAGGUUGUCCAAGAUUAGGCUGUGCGGACUGCACAGGCUAAUCAGGGGCAACACUUUCCGCCUUAUCUGGAUUUUCUCUCUCCCUUUCAACAAAAAAUACAAUAAAGCAGCAAUUGUCUGCCUGAUUGGUAUGAUCAGCACAUGUUAAUCUCGUACGACAAUUUACGCACAUGCAUUAAGCCCCAUUUUCCCAGGGCAAGGCUCACCUAUUUAGGUUUUAGCUGUCUAUAUGCUCUUUAACUUUUGAAUCAUGAUGCAGUUUCAUAUAAUAAUGUAUUAUGAGUCGUUUUUAAUUGAUGCAUAUUCUUUUGUUCAGUGUUGAACUCAACAUGUAUUAUAAUAAGGUGUUCACUUAACAUUCUUGCAGUAAUGUUUUGCUGUGUAAUAUACAUGUAAUAAUAAAUCAAAAUUGAACAAACUA